AACGAACGCUGGCGGCAUGCCUAACACAUGCAAGUCGAACGAGACCUUCGGUUCUAGUGGCGCACGGGUGCGUAACGCGUGGGAACCUGCCCUUCGGUUCGUAAUAUCUCCCCGAAAGGGGUGCUAAUACCGGCUAAUUUCUUCGGACCAAAGAUUUAUCGCCUUUGGAUGGGCCCGCGUUGGAUUAGCUAGUUGGUAGGGUAAAAGCCUACCAAGGCGACGAUCCAUAGCUGGUCUGAGAGGAUGAGCAGCCACACUGGGGCUGAGACACGGCCCAGACUCCUACGGGAGGCAGCAGUGGGGAAUAUUGGAAAAUGGGAGAAAGGCUGAUCCAGCAAUGCCGCGUGAGUGAUGAAGGCCUUAGGGUUGUAAAGCUCUUUUACCCGGGAUGAUAAUGACAGUACCGGGAGAAUAAGCUCCGGCUAACUCCGUG
rnacentral:rRNA from 1 species